rnacentral:rRNA from 1 species
AUACGGAAGGUCCGGGCGUUAUCCGGAUUUAUUGGGUUUAAAGGGAGCGCAGGCGGAGAUGCAAGCGUGACGUCAAAUUUCGGGGCUCAACCCCGUCUCGCGUCGCGAACUGCGUCCCUUGGUUGCGGGAAGGGGAGGCGGAACUCGUGGUGUAGCGGUGAAACGCAUAGAUAUCACGAAGAACUCCGAUCGCGAAGGCAGCCUUCCGGCCCGUCAACGACGCUCAUGCUCGAAGGUGCGGGUAUCAAACAGGAUUAGAUACCCUGGUAGUCCGCACAGUAAACGAUGGACACCCGCGGUUUGGCCUAUAUGGCUGAGCCGCCAAGCGAAAGCGUUAAGUGUCCCACCUGGGGAGUACGCCGGCAACGGUGAAACUCAAAUGAAUUGACGGGG